GAUAUUGAUGCAUUAAACAAUGUAAUCGUUAGGAAGUUCAAAUGCUGUCAUUGAAAUUAUUCAUUUUUAAAGAGCUAUUCAAUUACAAUGGAGUAUGUAGGUUAGUAGGUGCGAUGAUGGGUAUUUAUUUACCUUUUCAUCAAAAACAAAAAAAUUUACUAAGUUACCAUAUGACAAAACAGUUGCAAACCGCAAUUAAUGUAGUCCUUUUCU